GAUGAACGCUGGCGGCGUGCCUAAUACAUGCAAGUCGAGCGAACAGACGAGGAGCUUGCUCCUCUGACGUUAGCGGCGGACGGGUGAGUAACACGUGGAUAACCUACCCAUAAGACUGGGAUAACUUCGGGAAACCGGAGCUAAUACCGGAUAAUAUAUUGAACCGCAUGGUUCAAUAGUGAAAGACGGUUUUGCUGUCACUUAUAGAUGGAUCCGCGCCGCAUUAGCUAGUUGGUAAGGUAACGGCUUACCAAGGCAACGAUGCGUAGCCGACCUGGGAGGGUGAUCGGCCACACUGGAACUGAGACACGGUCCAGACUCCUACGGGAGGCAGCAGUAGGGAAUCUACCGCAAUGGGCGAAAGCCUGACGGAGCAACGCCGCGUGAGUGAUGAAGGUCUUCGGAUCGUAAAACUCUGUUAUUAGGGAAGAACAAAUGUGUAAGUAACUAUGCACGUCUUGACGGUACCUAAUCAGAAAGCCACGGCUAACUACGUGCCAGCCGCCGCCGUAA
rnacentral:rRNA from 1 species